GUCCACGCCGUAAACGUUGAAUACUCGAUCUUAGCGAUACACAGUUAGGAUCCAAGCGAAAGCGUUAAGUAUUCCACCUGGGAAGUACGUUCGCAAGAAUGAAACUCAAAGGAAUUGACGGGGGCCCGCACAAGCGGAGGAGCAUGUGGUUUAAUUCGAUGAUACGCGAGGAACCUUACCUGGGCUUGAAUGUGAGUGACCGAUGCCGAAAGGUGUCUUCCCUUCGGGGCACAAAACAAGGUGCUGCAUGGCUGUCGU
rnacentral:rRNA from 1 species